rnacentral:rRNA from 1 species
AUUGAACGCUGGCGGCAUGCCUUACACAUGCAAGUCGAACGGCAGCACGGAGCUUGCUCUGGUGGCGAGUGGCGAACGGGUGAGUAAUAUAUCGGAACGUACCCAAGAGUGGGGGAUAACGUAGCGAAAGUUACGCUAAUACCGCAUACGAUCUAAGGAUGAAAGCAGGGGAUCGCAAGACCUUGUGCUCCUGGAGCGGCCGAUAUCUGAUUAGCUAGGUGGUGAGGUAAAGGCUCACCAAGGCAUCGAUCAGUAGCGGGUCUGAGAGGACGACCAGCCACACUGGAACUGAGACACGGUCCAGACUCCUACGGGAGGCAGCAGUGGGGAAUUUUGGACAAUGGGGGCAACCCUGAUCCAGCAAUGCCGCGUGAGUGAAGAAGGCCUUCGGGUUGUAAAGCUCUUUUGUCAGGGAAGAAACGGUGAAGGCUAAUAUCCUUUGCUAAUGACGGUACCUGAAGAAUAAGCACCGGCUAACUACGUGCCAGCCGCCGCCGUAACAC